rnacentral:tRNA from 1 species
CUUUGCGCUGGGCGGGCAUUCGCUGCUGGCCACGCGGCUGGUGUCGCGCCUGCGCGGCGCGCUGCGGUGCGAGCUGCCGCUGCGCGCCGU